rnacentral:rRNA from 1 species
GAGUUUGAUCUUGGCUCAGAUUGAACGCUGGCGGCAUGCCUUACACAUGCAAGUCGAACGGCAGCACGGGAGCUUGCUCCUGGUGGCGAGUGGCGAACGGGUGAGUAAUGCAUCGGAACGUAUCCUGGAGUGGGGGAUAACAUAGCGAAAGUUACGCUAAUACCGCAUAUUCUGUGAGCAGGAAAGCGGGGGACCUUCGGGCCUCGCGCUCUUGGAGCGGCCGAUGUCGGAUUAGCUAGUUGGUGAGGUAAAGGCUCACCAAGGCGACGAUCCGUAGCAGGUCUGAGAGGAUGAUCUGCCACACUGGAACUGAGACACGGUCCAGACUCCUACGGGAGGCAGCAGUGGGGAAUUUUGGACAAUGGGGGCAACCCUGAUCCAGCCAUGCCGCGUGAGUGAAGAAGGCCUCGGUUGUAAG